CCUACGGGAGGCUGCAGUGAGGAAUAUUGGUCAAUGGGCUUACGCCUGAACCAGCCAAGUCGCGUGAGGGAAGACUGCCCUAUGGGUUGUAAACCUCUUUUGUCAGGGAGCAACGCCGGCUACGUGUAGCCGGACUGAGAGUACCUGAAGAAAAAGCAUCGGCUAACUCCGUGCCAGCAGCCGCGGUAAUACGGAGGAGGCGACCGUUAUCCGGAUUUACUGGGUGGAAAGGGAGCGUAGACGGCACGUCAAGUCUGAUGUGAAAACCCGGGGCUUAACCCCGGGACUGCAUUGGAAACUGUCAGGCUAGAGUGUCGGAGAGGCAAGUGGAAUUCCUAGUGUAGCGGUGAAAUGCGUAGAUAUUAGGAGGAACACCAGUGGCGAAGGCGGCUUGCUGGACGAUGACUGACGUUGAGGCUCGAAAGCGUGGGGAGCAAACAGGAUUAGAUACCCUUGUAGUC
rnacentral:rRNA from 1 species